GAUGAACGCUGGCGGCGUGCCUAAUACAUGCAAGUCGAGCGAACAGACGAGGAGCUUGCUCCUCUGACGUUAGCGGCGGACGGGUGAGUAACACGUGGAUAACCUACCUAUAAGACUGGGAUAACUUCGGGAAACCGGAGCUAAUACCGGAUAAUAUAUUGAACCGCAUGGUUCAAUAGUUAAAGACGGUUUUGCUGUCACUUAUAGAUGGAUCCGCGCCGCAUUAGCUAGUUGGUAAGGUAACGGCUUACCAAGGCAACGAUGCGUAGCCGACCUGAGAGAGUGAGCGGCCACACUGGAACUGAGACACGGUCCAGACUCCUACGGGAGGCAGCAGUAGGGAGUCUUCCGAAAAGCGCGGAUGCCUGACGGAGCACCGCCGCGUGAGUGAUGAAGGUCUUCGGAUCGUAAAACUCUGUUAUUAGGGAAGAACAAAUGUGUAAGUAACUAUGCACGUCUUGACGGUACCUAGUCAGAAAGCCACGGCUAACUACGUG
rnacentral:rRNA from 1 species